rnacentral:rRNA from 1 species
ACUUAAAUUGAAGAGUUUGAUCAUGGCUCAGAUUGAACGCUGGCGGCAGGCCUAACACAUGCAAGUCGAGCGGUAGCACAGAGAGCUUGCUCUCGGGUGACGAGCGGCGGACGGGUGAGUAAUGUCUGGGAAACUGCCUGAUGGAGGGGGAUAACUACUGGAAACGGUAGCUAAUACCGCAUAAUGUCGCAAGACCAAAGUGGGGGACCUUCGGGCCUCAUGCCAUCAGAUGUGCCCAGAUGGGAUUAGCUAGUAGGUGGGGUAACGGCUCACCUAGGCGAC